AGCACUCAUAUGUACUCAAAAUUGGAUUCGCAAUACAAUAGCAAUUGAUAUCACUACAACAAUUGAAGAAGUGGAAGCAUUAGAGAAUGAAAUAUUGGCUGGAAUUGGUGAUAUCAGAAUUGAGUGACGUUGUCACUUUGGAGUUUGGACUGAUGAAGGAUUCUAUGAUAUUCAUAAUUUGUGCACUCUUGUUUAUGUAACAUGUAUUAUCUUAUGGUUUAGAAUAGAUUUAUGUUGGACUUAUGUUGCAAUUUAGGUUGGAUUUAUGUUGGACUUAUGUUAUAAUUAGGUUGAAUUUAUGUUGGGUUGUAAUAUUUUGAACUAAUAUAUUAGUCUUUUAGGUGAAAAA